AAAUCUGGCACUAUAUUCCCUAUAUGCUAGUGCGCUACUUUUGACCAGAGCCGAGGUAGUGCACUGUGUAGGGAAAAGGGUGUGAUUUAGGACGUAACCCAAACCUCAGCUACAACGGAACACAACGGAACACAACAGAACAGCGGCAGGGUUCCAAGUUCCAACACAUGAUGACCAGGGGGAUUAUCCUGUGGCAGCGUCUUACUGGGGACAAGCAGUCAGACUGGGGGUUGAACCAGCAACCUUAAUGUUACAGGGCCAGUGUAGAGAAAGGCCGGCGUCACUAAGGUCUGGACCUUAGCAGAGGCAGCAGUAGUCUUCAGACAGAGGUUACACUAGGUGUAUAUCAGCAGUAGUCUUCAGACAGAGGUUACACUAGGUGUAUAUCAGCAGUAGUCUCCAG
ensembl:lncRNA